UUAAAGACAAAAAGCGUGAUGAUCUUUGAGUACUUUUUACCAGGUGACGCUUUUCUUUUUUUAUUAUUCGCAUUAUCCCAAAAUUUUCUAGGCUGGAAGAAGAUAGACCUCAAGGUGCCAGAUGCGGUUCAAUCGCAGCACAAAUUCGUGGCCAGCUCACUGUGCUGUGUAUCUGUUAUGUAUCUGUCACCUCUAUAACCAAUUAAGACUUUACCUCUUCUAUCUAAAUCAUAACACUUUGAUAAUGCAUGCAUUUUUAAAUUCUAAUGCACCGAAAUGGACAUACUUAUCCAGAUAACUCUAACUGUCUUUUCAAAUCCCAAUUGAUGUACCAUUCUCACCAUAUCCUUGUGGGAUGAAAACGUCCCUUCAUUGCCAGUAAAGUGCAGACGAUGACUGAAUUGCCAACCUUACUCUGCUUGUUGCCAUCCUCCAUCCCUCGUGCUUAUCUGAACUUCGGAAGGCGGUCGGCGUUAUAUUCCGGUAGCCACCAGUUUUGCUUCGUUUGGCCUUGCUUGGCCCGUGUCAUUGUCACUUUGUCCCUUCACCCGCUUCAGUGAUCCAUACAUCAAUAGCAAUGAACCUGAAAACAUGGAUGAAAAAUGAAGGCACAGGGAAGCCGUCAUGUCCAUCUUUGCAGUUGCUUAUGUUGCACAUACAAUCGUAAGCUUUGCAAUGCGCGGCUUCAUGGAAAGAUCAUCGACAUGCUCCUAGGACCAGAAUUACUUGAAAAGAUAUACAUCAGUGGCAUCCAAAUACGAGACGGUGACACCAGCUAAUAGAUAGGAAUGAGUUGAAAAAUGCACAUCAAUGACAGUUACAGUAUGAAGCAUUCACAUGGUCAGAAUGUUCCGCCAAACAGUCAUUCGAAUGUAGUAUACACUGCAGGAAUAUCAAAGAUGGUAGAAAAAGUUUGCUGCAAUGUUGAUAUAAUUGCAUAAGAGUCAUCUCCAAACAAUCGCAGCGAAUCUUCGUACUGGGGGCUUGGGGGGGGGGGGGGGGGUAAUGGCUGGAUCUACAGCCUUCCCCAAUCACCAUAUCAUGAUCCAAAGAUGUGCGCCGCAGAGAAAACAAAAUCCUAAGCUUAACACUUGAAGAGGUUGAUCGUUGCAUCAGCUAGAUGGGAGGCCAUUGCUGACAGGAAUCACAAGUGAACUGCAUGCAUCAUGGGGUUGUGUCUUGCAUGCAAGCCUCACGGUAGUAUAGAUCUGCGAGGUUUCAGCCAUUGCAUCAUUUCCAUAGUCGCCACAAGCCAAACUUUUGGUAUCAGGGGGGAUAAAAAUUAUGCCCACUUGUUUGAUUGUCUGAAGAUGACGCUCCGUGAAUGGGUUGUUCCACAUUAAAGUGUUCAUAGCUGGGGCAACAAAGAGUGGUUUCCUGUAGUCCCAUGCUCUCACUAUGCAUGUCAAGAGGUUGUCACAGAGCCCGCCGGCAAUCUGAAGGGAAUAAUCUAGUGUCACUUUUUGUAUGCAACAAAACCAA